UACGUAGGGUGCAGGCGUUAAUCGGAAUUACUGGGCGUAAAGCGUGCGCAGGCGGUCUUUUUAAGUCAGAUGUGAAAAUCCCCCGGGCUUUAACCUGGGAACUGCGUUUGAAACUGGAAAGGCUUGAGUGUGGCAGAGGGGGGGUGGAAUUCCACGUGUAGCAGUGAAAAUGCGUAGAGAUGUGGAGGAACACCGAUGGCGAAGGCAGCCCCCCUGGGCUAACACUGACGCCUCAUGCACGAAGGCGUGGGGGAGAAACAGG
rnacentral:rRNA from 1 species